rnacentral:tRNA from 1 species
GCGCCAAUAGCUCAGUUGGAUAGAGCAACUGCCUUCUAAGCAGUAGGUCAGAGGUUCGGACCUCUUUGGCGUA